rnacentral:lncRNA from 1 species
CAGUCAGAAAUAUUUAGUUGAGGACAAUUCUAUCUGAGAAAUAGCAAAUGUGAUUUUUAACAACUAAGCAGCCCUUUGGGGAAACAUGGCCGCUUAUAGCCUUGUGGGAAGAAAGUUGUCAUGUGGCCUUUAAAACUGAUUUUUAAAAAAACACCUAAACUGGCCAGGCAUGGUGACUCACGCCUGUAAUCCUAGCACUUUGGGAGGCCAAGGUGGAUGGAUCACGAGGUCAGGAGAUCGAGAUAAUCCCGGUUAAC